UGCCAGCAGCCGCGGUAAUACGAAGGGUGCUAGCGUUGUUCGGAAUUACUGGGCGUAAAGCGCACGUAGGCGGAUUGGAAAGUCAGGGGUGAAAUCCCGGGGCUCAACCCCGGAACUGCCUUUGAUACUGGAAGUCUUGAGUCCGAGAGAGGUGAGUGGAACUCCGAGUGUAGAGGUGAAAUUCGUAGAUAUUGGAAAGAACACCAGUGGCGAAGGCGGCUUACUGGCUCGGUACUGACGCUGAGAUGCGAAAGCGUGGGGAGCAAACAGGAUUAGAUA
rnacentral:rRNA from 1 species